rnacentral:sRNA from 2 species
AUUCUACCCAUGUGGGGAAGGAUGAGAAGCUUCGACUAAGGUUCGAUUCGAGCGAAAGCGAGAAAGCGUUGCCGCAGGCAACGACCCGAAGGGCGAAGCGCGCAGCGCUGAGUCAUCCUUCCCCUACCACCA